AGACUGAAGAUUCCCCAUAUCUUAGUGGUGAACUUGCCAAGCAAAAAAAGAUGGUGAAUUGUCCUCUCCACAUAGAUAACAUUUGGAGCACAAUUGAAAACCUCUUCUAGUUAGAUUGCAUGAGUUAGAACUGCUUCUCUUGCCAGUAGCCAUGUGAAGCAUGCCACCUUAUGUGGUAUUUUUACUUUCCAAAUCAUCUUCCAUGGCCAACAUUCCACCUGAUUAUUGGACUGAUUGACCUCCUUGUAAGCAUUUUUAACUGAGAACUUCCCUUGACUAUUGCCUUGCCAUUUGAUCAUGUCUUGAUCUUGGUUUGAGCUGAUGCUACUGAAUUGCUGCAGGUUGAACUCCUUGUAAGCAUCUUUAACUGAGAACUUCCCUUGACUAUUGCCUUGCAUUUGAUCGUGUCUUGAUCUUGGUUUGAACUGAUGCCACUGAAUUGCUGCAGAGAACUGUACAAUUCCAUAACUCUGUCAAUUCCAGCCUUGGUUUGACCACACCUCUUCUAUAGUAGCAUUCUGUUGCUAACACAAAUUGAACAUAUCCGGGAAUAGUCCCUUCAGAGAUCCUUGGCCUAGCCAAUUGUCCUCCCAAAAUAAAAUCUUUUUACCAUUACCGACUUUGAACUUUGCCUUGUUGAUUAGUUUUGGCCAUAAGUUCCUAAUUGAUCUCCACAGACUAACUCCAUAUGGUCUUUUUUACUGUUUUGGUUGUCCAGCUUCCUUCCUUUCCAUAUUUUUCCCUGAUCACUUCUGUCCACAGAGAUUGCUCAUCUACUGCAAAUUUCCACAGUCACUUCAACAUCAGACUUUGAUUUUGUAUUUUCAGAUUUUUGAUCCCUAACCCCCCUUGAUUUUUUGCUUGAAAUAUGAUUAAACAAUCGAUGUUACCAACAGUACUUCUGAUCAUUCUCCAAUUAUGCUUCUUAGUAGAGAAAGGGAAACGACUACUUUCUAUUUCAAAUUCGAAAAUUGGUGGCUAGAAGUUCAGCAUGCAUUUGCAAAUUUUAUGCCUGCUGUAAGCCUACAACAACCCUCCUCCUUUAUCGGGGCUUGGGACCGGCAAUGUGAGCAAACUCACACAAGUAGAGUUUAUAACAGUGGGCAAAACCAUAACCAAAUAGACUUUAUCCUAAAAAGAAGACGUGAUGAAUGACAU
rnacentral:lncRNA from 1 species